rnacentral:rRNA from 1 species
GACGAACGCUGGCGGCGUGCUUAACACAUGCAAGUCGAACGGUGACGAGGAGCUUGCUCCUCUGAUCAGUGGCGAACGGGUGAGUAACACGUGAGCAACCUGCCCCAGACUCUGGGAUAACAGUUGGAAACAGCUGCUAAUACCGGAUACGAGACGGAGAGGCAUCUCUACCGUCUGGAAAGUUUUUCGGUCUGGGAUGGACUCGCGGCCUAUCAGCUAGUUGGUGAGGUAAUGGCUCACCAAGGCGACGACGGGUAGCCGGCCUGAGAGGGCGACCGGCCACACUGGGACUGAGACACGGCCCAGACUCCUACGGGAGGCAGCAGUGGGGAAUAUUGCACAAUGGGCGAAAGCCUGAUGCAGCGACGCCGCGUGAGGGAUGACGGCCUUCGGGUUGUAAACCUCUUUCAGCAGGGAAGAAGCGAAAGUGACGGUACCUGCAGAAGAAGCACCGGCUAACUACGUGCCAGCAGCCGCGGUAAUACGUAGGGUGCGAGCGUUGUCCGGAAUUAUUGGGCGUAAAGAGCUUGUAGGCGGUUUGUCGCGUCUGCAGUGAAAAUCCGAGGCUCAACCUCGGACUUGCUGUGGGUACGGGCAGACUAGAGUAUGGUAGGGGAGACCGGAAUUCCUGGUGUAGCGGUGGAAUGCGCAGAUAUCAGGAGGAACACCGAUGGCGAAGGCAGGUCUCUGGGCCAUAACUGACGCUGAGAAGCGAAAGCAUGGGGAGCGAACAGGAUUAGAUACCCUGGUAGUCCAUGCCGUAAACGUUGGGCGCUAGGUGUGGGGCUCAUUCCACGAGCUCCGUGCCGCAGCUAACGCAUUAAGCGCCCCGCCUGGGGAGUACGGCCGCAAGGCUAAAACUCAAAGGAAUUGACGGGGGCCCGCACAAGCGGCGGAGCAUGCGGAUUAAUUCGAUGCAACGCGAAGAACCUUACCAAGGCUUGACAUAUACCGGAAACAUCCAGAGAUGGGUGCCCCGCAAGGUCGGUAUACAGGUGGUGCAUGGUUGUCGUCAGCUCGUGUCGUGAGAUGUUGGGUUAAGUCCCGCAACGAGCGCAACCCUCGUUCUAUGUUGCCAGCGCGUAAUGGCGGGGACUCAUAGGAGACUGCCGGGGUCAACUCGGAGGAAGGUGGGGAUGACGUCAAAUCAUCAUGCCCCUUAUGUCUUGGCUUCACGCAUGCUACAAUGGCCGGUACAAAGGGCUGCGAUACCGCGAGGUGGAGCGAAUCCCAAAAAACCGGUCUCAGUUCGGAUUGGGGUCUGCAACUCGACCCCAUGAAGUCGGAGUCGCUAGUAAUCGCAGAUCAGCAACGCUGCGGUGAAUACGUUCCCGGGCCUUGUACACACCGCCCGUCAAGUCACGAAAGUCGGUAACACCCGAAGCCGGUGGCCCAACCCUUGUGGAGGGAGCCGUCGAAGGUGGGACUGGCGAUUGGGACU